GAUGAACGCUGGCGGCGUGCCUAAUACAUGCAAGUCGAGCGAACAGACGAGGAGCUUGCUCCUCUGACGUUAGCGGCGGACGGGUGAGUAACACGUGGAUAACCUACCUAUAAGACUGGGAUAACUUCGGGAAACCGGAGCUAAUACCGGAUAAUAUAUUGAACCGCAUGGUUCAAUAGUGAAAGACGGUUUUGCUGUCACUUAUAGAUGUAUCCGCGCCGCAUUAGCUAGUUGGUAAGGUAACGGCUUACCAAGGCGACGAUGCGUAGCCGAACUGAGAGGGUGAUCGGCCACACUGGAACUGAGACACGGUCCAGACUCCUACGGGAGGCAGCAGUAGGGAAUCUUCCGCAAUGGGCGAAAGCCUGACGGAGCAACGCCGCGUGAGUGAUGAAGGUCUUCGGAUCGUAAAACUCUGUUAUUAGGGAAGAACAAAUGUGUAAGUAACUAUGCACGUCUUGACGGUACCUAAUCAGAAAGCCACGGCUAACUACGUG
rnacentral:rRNA from 1 species